CCUUCGUCCUCUCCUCUGCUUCCAAUCGCGCUGCCCAUCGAUCCGAGCCCGACGACGCCAGAUCCGCAGCCCACCUUCCCCCAUCUUCCGCUCCCCCUCUCCACCUCCCACAUCGGAUCGAGCGUGCCGCCCAACUUCACAGGUAGCAGAUGCACCGCCGGCCAGCAGCCUCGACGUCGCGGCCGGCUGGGUCGACGGCGCGCGCAUGCUUCGAUGCGCGCUGCUCCGUCGAGCUGGCCGGACCGCGGCGGCGCAUGACCUAGGGUUUGUGGUGGCUUUGCCCCCACGCCGGCCACGGCGACUGCCGUGUUCGUCGUUCCCCACCCUGCAGUCAAUCCCGUCCCCGCUGCUUCAACGGCCUCCUCUGCUGGCGUCUCUGCGAGAUCGCCCGACGCCAGGCAGGCCGUGGACGCGCAGGACCUCAAGCCGGCCGUGCUGCUCCUUCUGCCCGCGUCUUUCCCCAAACACGUCUCCGACCUGCAUCCAACUGCCCUUGCCUCAGCCCUCCUCCACUUAGCUCCUGGUGAGCUGCUGCAGUGCAGCCGCUGUACUGGACCAAGGACCCUGGGGAUAGCAACUGCACUCAGUUUUGGAAGAGCUUAUUGAUGGAUUGCUGAUGAGUCCUGGGUGUGGAUGUGCAACACAUAACUUUAUCGAAGCCCUACGAAGGCAAGGCACCUGCAUCACACCCAUGGGGUGGUCCAAUACAAAGUCGAAAGUAUGUUCUUCUACCCCAUUGCUUCUGGUAUCCACAUAAUAUGUUAAGUUUAAUUUGAUUCUACAGUUCAGCUUUGUUGGUGGUUACAGCAGCAGAGGAAGUUUGAGCAAUAGGACAUUUCAUUGAAGGAAAUAACAAAAUAGUGGUGAAGCGGGUGAUGUAGAGUGGUGAAGCAGGUGAUGAAGAGGGUUCUACAUUGAUGUCAAUGUGUGUGUUUUAUUUUAUCAAUGUAACCAUUUUUUUAGAAUCAUGCAACCAUUUUUGUUCAUGGUUGUUUGGGUGCCUAACUAAUUUAUUCUGUGGAAGUAUCGGUUUUCGCCCGGUUU